CACAUGUGACGAGUUUGACCUGGCUCAGAACGAACGCUGGCGGCAUGCCUAACACAUGCAAGUCGAACGAGACCUUCGGGUCUAGUGGCGCACGGGUGCGUAACGCGUGGGAAUCUGCCCCUUGGUUCGGAAUAACAGCGAGAAAUUGCUGCUAAUACCGGAUAAUGACGUAAGUCCAAAGAUUUAUCGCCAAGGGAUGAGCCCGCGUAGGAUUAGCUAGUUGGUGUGGUAAAGGCGCACCAAGGCGACGAUCCUUAGCUGGUCUGAGAGGAUGAUCAGCCACACUGGGACUGAGACACGGCCCAGACUCCUACGGGAGGCAGCAGUGGGGAAUAUUGGACAGUGGGCGAAAGCCUGAUCCAGCAAUGCCGCGUGAGUGAUGAAGGCCUUAGGGUUGUAAAGCUCUUUUACCCGAGAUGAUAAUGACAGUAUCGGGAGAAUAAGCUCCGGCUAACUCCGUG
rnacentral:rRNA from 1 species